rnacentral:rRNA from 1 species
AUUGAACGCUGGCGGAAUGCUUUACACAUGCAAGUCGAACGGCAGCACGGACUUCGGUCUGGUGGCGAGUGGCGAACGGGUGAGUAAUGUAUCGGAACGUGCCCAGUCGUGGGGGAUAACGUAGUGAAAAUUACGCUAAUACCGCAUACGAUCUAUGGAUGAAAGCGGGGGAUCGCAAGACCUCGCGCGAUUGGAGCGGCCGAUAUCAGAUUAGGUAGUUGGUGGGGUAAAGGCCCACCAAGCCAACGAUCUGUAGCUGGUCUGAGAGGACGACCAGCCACACUGGGACUGAGACACGGCCCAGACUCCUACGGGAGGCAGCAGUGGGGAAUUUUGGACAAUGGGCGCAAGCCUGAUCCAGCAAUGCCGCGUGCAGGAAGAAGGCCUUCGGGUUGUAACUGCUUUGUACGGAACGAAACGGUCUGGGUUAAUACCCUGGGCGUAAUGACGGUACCGUAAGAAUAAGCACCGGCUAACUACGUG